ACGAAAUGUAAGCCGACCAGAUCAUCGGCGUACCCGGGGGGAGUGUUGAGUACGCACCUCUCUAUCCAGCAUCUCUAAUCUACACACAUCAACAAACGUAGGUAUUGCAUGCAACCUUCUCCCCUGAGGCCCUUGGUCAAACGUCAUGACCAAUAUGCUAUUGUGGUGGACAGAUAAGAUACAAUUGAUACAGCGUAUAAUAUCAACAGCGCUCAUGUGCUCUUUUGAGUUUCUAAAACUACAUCUAAAAUAGUGUUACAUGCAAUAAGAAUCUAGAAAAUUGUGCAAUAAUAGUGUGAACUAAAUGGUGUUCACUUAACAUCUAGUGCAUUUUUCUAACCUAAGAUCUACAUAAAUCUAAAACCUACAUGCAAAGUACGGUGAGGAUCUAGUACGGUAAAUUUGAUAUUGCUAAGGUGAUUAGUAGGAAAAGGAGAUCGCAACAAUCGCAAGACCGGAUUGAUCAUCCGCAAACACUGCACAACGGGACUAAACGUAAGUCAAUACGGACAUAUUAUACUAAAGUUCACAAUCUAUUAUUUUAACUAAAUCUAAAUGUAAAAUGGCACACAAUAUGUAAACUAACACAUAUGUACAUGAAAUAAUUUCAGGAAUUUAAUAAUAGCCACAUUUAAACGUAAAUCCUACGUCUCCGGUCGUUUAUGCUAUUAUUAGUUUGGAAAUAAACCCUGUGCGUUUCUU
rnacentral:lncRNA from 1 species